GAAAUUGGAGGCGAAGGAUGAUUUUCAAUCCGAUCUAUGAUAUGCAUAAGAGAAACCAAAGCUCCAUAAGCCGCCAUGAUUAAUUCUUUCAAUAAUGUAUAUAUUUAUGGGAAGUGUGAAUGAAAAUAUAUGAGGUAAUAUUUGAGAGGUGAAAGAAGGCAACCAAUCUGGUAUUAUGAUUCCACAAUUGAGAUUUGAAACUUUUUAUAGCAG
rnacentral:lncRNA from 1 species